GGAGCAGCCGAAAUUCCCCAUCCCUUUAAAAGGCCCGGGGGUGGGUGGUGGCAGCACAAGAGAAAGGUGAUGCCGGGAGAGGGGGAAACAGAUGGGAAAUGGGGACAGAGGGUCGGGGCGCUGAGUUGGGUGGAAAGUUUGUCUGGAGAACUCCCACGGCUCCGGCCUCCCCUCCCCCUCCCGGCUCCCAGCUGCCCAGCCAGGAGGAGAAAGGCUGCUUAGCAGAGACAUGGCAACUCAGCCGGGAGCUGGAACUGGAAACUUUCUGUCAAUGCAAACGGCCGCGUGGGUGGCGACCCAAUGGUGGUUGGGCUGCGGGUCACGUGACGGCUUCUUUGUAGCUCCGGAAGAGGACUGUGAGGUUUAGGAGAAUUGCAAGGUGGGAAAACAAUCAAGAUUUGGGGGAAGUACCCACAGAGACUGACGGUAAGUU